rnacentral:rRNA from 1 species
UCAAGCUACAAAGGGCGCAUGGUGAAUGCCUUGGCAUCAGGAGCCGAUGAAGGACGUGAUAAGCUGCGAUAAGCUUCGGGUAGGCGCACAUAGCCUGAGAUCCGAAGAUCUCCGAAUGAGGAAACUCACAUGGGAAACCCCAUGUAUCAUUAAGUGAAUACAUAGCUUAAUGAAGGUAACCCAGGGAACUGAAACAUCUAAGUACCUGGAGGAAGAGAAAGAAAAAUCGAUUUUCUUAGUAGCGGCGAGCGAAAGGGAAAGAGCCCAAACCGGAAACUUGUUUCCGGGGUUGUGGACAUAGCAUAAAAGUGGAGGCUAUUGUAACUGAAGAGAACUGGAAAGUUCCACCGUAGAAGGUAAUAGUCCUGUAAGUGAAACGAGAAGACCACGAGUUAUGAUCCAGAGUACCACGAGACACGUGAAACCUUGUGGGAAGCAGGGAGGACCACCUCCCAAGGCUAAAUACUACCUGAUGACCGAUAGUGAAGCAGUACCGUGAGGGAAAGGUGAAAAGAACCCCGGGAGGGGAGUGAAAUAGAACCUGAAACCGUGUGCCUACAACCGCUCAGAGCCCCUUAUGAGGGUGAUGAGGUGCUUUUUGUAGAACGAGCCAACGAGUUACGGUAUGUAGCAAGGUUAAGUACUUAAGGUACGGAGCCGAAGGGAAACCGAGUCUGAAUAGGGCGACUAGUUGCAUGCCGUAGACCCGAAACCGGGUGACCUAUCCAUGGCCAGGUUGAAGCGAGGGUAAAACCUCGUGGAGGACCGAACCACGUUGCUGUUGAAAAAGCAUGGGAUGAGCUGUGGAUAGCGGAGAAAUUCCAAUCGAACCCGGAGAUAGCUGGUUCUCUCCGAAAUAGCUUUAGGGCUAGCGUCGAGUAUGAGUAGUGGAGGUAGAGCACUGAAUGGGCUAGGGGGCAUAGCGCUUACCGAACCUUAUCAAACUCCGAAUGCCACAUACUUUGAGCUCGGCAGUCAGACUACGAAUGAUAAGAUCCGUGGUCAAAAGGGAAACAGCCCAGAUCGUCAGCUAAGGUCCCAAAGUGUAAGUUAAGUGGGAAAGGAUGUGAGAUUUCUAAGACAACUAGGAUGUUGGCUUAGAAGCAGCCAUUCAUUAAAAGAGUGCGUAAUAGCUCACUAGUCGAGAGAUCUUGCGCCGAAAAUGUAACGGGGCUAAACUUACCACCGAAGCUACGGGCUUGAACUUAGUUCAAGCGGUAGGAGAGCGUCGUAACCGGGCUGAAGUCGUACCGUAAGGAGCGGUGGACUGGUUACGAGUGAGAAUGUUGGCAUCAGUAGCGAGAUGUGGGUGAGAAUCCCACAGGCCGAAAACCUAAGGUUUCCUCAGGAAGGUUCGUCCGCUGAGGGUUAGUCGGGACCUAAGCCGAGGCCGAAAGGCGUAGGUGAUGGACAACUGGUUGAUAUUCCAGUACCACUACCAUCGUUAUUAUCGAUGGCGUGACGCAGGAGGAUAGUGUGUGCUAGCUAUUGGAUGCUAGUCUAAGCGUUUAGGCAGUGAGAGUAGGCAAAUCCGCUCUCAUAAUGCUGAGGCGUGAUGGGGAAGGUUCUACGGAACCGAAGUACAUGAUUCCACGCUGCCAAGAAAAGCGUCUAGAGAGAGAAGUAGUGCCCGUACCGCAAACCGACACAGGUAGGUGAGGAGAGAAUCCUAAGGCCGGCGGAAGAAUUACAGUUAAGGAACUCGGCAAAUUGACCCCGUAAGUUCGCGAGAAGGGGUGCCUACGAGAGUAGGCCGCAGAGAAUAGGCCCAAGCAACUGUUUAGCAAAAACACAGGUCUCUGCUAAAGCGUAAGCUGAUGUAUAGGGGCUGACGCCUGCCCGGUGCUGGAAGGUUAAGGGGAACACUUAGCGCAAGCGAAGGUGUGAACUUAAGCCCCAGUAAACGGCGGCCGUAACUAUAACGGUCCUAAGGUAGCGAAAUUCCUUGUCAGGUAAGUUCUGACCCGCACGAAUGGCGUAAUGACUUGGGCACUGUCUCAACUGUAAAUCCGGCGAAGUUGUAGUGCGAGUGAAGAUGCUCGCUACCCGCGAUUGGACGGAAAGACCCCGUAGAGCUUUACUGUAGCUUAGCAUUGAGUUUUGGUAUUGUCUGUACAGGAUAGGUGGGAGACUAGGAAACCAGGGCGUCAGCCUUGGUGGAGUCAACCUUGGGAUACCACCCUGACAGUACUGAAAUUCUAACUGGCGGCCAUGAAUCUGGUCACAGGACAUUGUUAGGUGGGCAGUUUGACUGGGGCGGUCGCCUCCUAAAAAGUAACGGAGGCGCCCAAAGGUUCCCUCAGAACGGUCGGAAAUCGUUCGAAGAGUGCAAAGGCAGAAGGGAGCCUGACUGCGACACCCACAAGUGGAGCAGGGACGAAAGUCGGGCUUAGUGAUCCGGUGGUACCUCGUGGGAGGGCCAUCGCUCAACGGAUAAAAGCUACCUCGGGGAUAACAGGCUGAUCUCCCCCAAGAGUCCACAUCGACGGGGAGGUUUGGCACCUCGAUGUCGGCUCGUCGCAUCCUGGGGCUGUAGUCGGUCCCAAGGGUUGGGCUGUUCGCCCAUUAAAGCGGCACGCGAGCUGGGUUCAGAACGUCGUGAGACAGUUCGGUCCCUAUCCGUCGCGGGCGUAGGAAAUUUGAGAGGAGCUGUCCUUAGUACGAGAGGACCGGGAUGGACUGACCUCUGGUGUACCAGUUGUUCCGCCAGGAGCACAGCUGGGUAGCUAAGUCGGGAAUGGAUAAACGCUGAAAGCAUCUAAGCGUGAAGCCAACCUCAAGAUGAGAUUUCCCAUAGCGUAAGCUAGUAAGAUCCCUUGAAGAACACAAGGUUGAUAGGUCGGGGGUGUAAGCAUGGUAACAUGUUCAGCUGACCGAUACUAAUAGAUCGAGGGCUUGACCAA